UUAACACUAACUAACUUUCAGAAGGUGUAACUAAGACUAACUAAUGUUGUUCUGCAGGUUCCAGGUUUUGUACGACUUUGAAGCUGAACCAGGAAACAACGAACUGACCGUCAGAGAAGGAGAGACACUCUCUGUACUCAACCAGCAGGUCGGCGGGGGGUGGAUUGAAGCUCAGAACUCCAGAGGACAGACUGGUCUGGUCCCAGUCGACUACCUACAGAUAAAAGGUGUGGGACAGACGGCCCCUUCCUAUUCUGAUAGCCGAAACACACA